CCUACGGGAGGCAGCAGUGGGGAAUUUUGGACAAUGGGCGAAAGCCUGAUCCAGCAAUGCCGCGUGAGUGAAGAAGGCCUUCGGGUUGUAAAGCUCUUUUGUCAGGGAAGAAACGGUGAGAGCUAAUAUCUCUUGCUAAUGACGGUACCUGAAGAAUAAGCACCGGCUAACUACGUGCCAGCAGCCGCGGUAAUACGUAGGGUGCAAGCGUUAAUCGGAAUUACUGGGCGUAAAGCGUGCGCAGGCGGUUUUGUAAGUCUGAUGUGAAAUCCCCGGGCUCAACCUGGGAAUUGCAUUGGAGACUGCAAGGCUAGAAUCUGGCAGAGGGGGGUAGAAUUCCACGUGUAGCAGUGAAAUGCGUAGAUAUGUGGAGGAACACCGAUGGCGAAGGCAGCCCCCUGGGUCAAGAUUGACGCUCAUGCACGAAAGCGUGGGGAGCAAACAGGAUUAGAUACCCUGGUAGUCCACGCCCUAAACGAUGUCUACUAGUUGUCGGGUCUUAAUUGACUUGGUAACGCAGCUAACGCGUGAAGUAGACCGCCUGGAAGNGUACGCGCGAAGAGUUAAAACGUUAAAGGAAUUGACCGGNGUAGAGACGUAGACCGACGGACGACGACGAGGGGAGGAGG
rnacentral:rRNA from 1 species